rnacentral:rRNA from 1 species
GAUGAACGCUAGCGGCAGGCCUAAUACAUGCAAGCUGAACGGCAAGAUUUGUAGCAAUACGGAUCCUAGAGUAGCGUAAGGGUGCGUAACACGUAUGCAAUCUACCCACAACUGGAGGAUAGCUCUUCGAAAGAGGAAAUAAUACUUCAUAGGAACAUUAGAGGGCAUCUGCUGCUGGUUAAACUACGGGGUUGUGGAUGAGCAUGCGUCUGAUUAGUUAGUAGGCGGGGUAACGGCCCACCAAGACGAUGAUCAGUAGGGGAACUGAGAGGUUGGUCCCCCACACUGGCACUGAGAUACGGGCCAGACUCCUACGGGAGGCAGCAGUAGGGAAUAGUGGACAAUGGGUGAGAGCCUGAUCCAGCCAUGCCGCGUGCAGGAAGAAAGCCUUCUGGGUUGUAAACUGCUUUUUUCAGGGGAUAAAAUACCGGUGCGCCGGGAAUUGCAAGUACCUGGAGAAUAAGCCACGGCUAACUACGUGCCAGCAGCCGCAGUAACAC